GAGAUCAGGGCAACUUAGUCAUUUUGCACCAUCAAGAGACUCCAGAAUAAUCCAUCUCUUCAUCGACUCUUCUCAUCCGUAUCUGUUUACCAACUCUCACCUAUCUAUCUUUCUUGAUCAUUCAUCUCUCUGCUUCUCCGUCUUCUUCAGCUGAUGAAGAUGUAGUUGCUUUCUCAGUGGCGAUAAAUCGAUUGUCAACUCCUCAAACUAACAGCUACUGAAAUUAAUUUUUUAGAAUUCUAAAGUUAGUUUCGAGCUGUGAAAAAAUUUCAGGUUAAAAUCAUUCUUGUUCAGGAAGGACUAUUGAACUCUCCUGGAACUUGAUUUUUUUAUCUUCAGUAUACACCUGCUAUUGAUAUCUGGAGUAUUGGAUGUAUUUCCGUGGAGGUCCUAACAGAGAAACCAUUAUUUUUGGGAAAAAAUAUUGUUCACCAUUUGGAUUUGAUUACUGAUCUUCUUGGAACGCCAUCAGCUGAUAUCAUAUCUGGGGUUCGUAAUGAGAAGGCAAGUAUGUGAUUUUGGAUUGGCAAGGGUUGCAUUCAGUGAUACGCCAACCACUAUAUUAUGGACGGAUUAUGUUGCUACAACGUGGUACCGUGCACCAGAGCUAUGUGGGUCUUUCUACUCCAAGGGAGGACUAUUGAACUCUCCUGGAACUUGAUUUUUCUAUUCUUCAGUAUACACCUGCUAUUGAUAUCUGGAGUGUUGGAUGUAUUUCCGCGGAGGUCCUGACGAGGAAACCAUUAUUUCCGGGCAAAGUGUUGUUCACCAAUUGGAUUUGAUUACUGAUCUUCUUGGAAAGCCAUCAGCUGAUAUCAUAUCUGGGGUUCGUAAUGAGAAGGCAAGGAAGUAUUUGACAGACAUGAAGAAAAAGAGCCCAGUUGUUUUUACUGAGAAAUUUCAAAAAGCAGAUCCUUUGGCACUUUGACUGUUGCAGAGGUUGUUAGCAUUUGAUCCAAAGGAUCGCCCAACUACUGAAGAGAUACACACACACAUAUAUUCCUGAUAUACAUGAAUGGCAUCUUGCUUGUCCCUUUCUAAUUUCAUUUUCAUUUUCAUUUCUUGUGUUUUUUCCUCCCAUCUUAUAGGCUUUGGCUGAUCCGUACUUCAAAGGACUGGCCAAGAUUGAGAGGGGAAAUAGACACAAUAAGUCUGUAGCAUAUGUUUUUAUGUGUAAUGUAUAUUUGUCAGCACCUCAAUUUGGUGAUGCAAACAGACACUUGAUGACUAUUUUACUGAAAGGAAAAUAUCAUUCGCUUGGCGAAUAAAGUGGGUCACCCUCUUUUUGGCUUCGGCCAAACACUUUUUCUCGCUGCAAGCAAUUACAUGAUGCUUGAGGGAAGAUGGAUCCUUAAUUGGAGUCUUGAGCACAGAGAUUUCAAAAGUGAAAAGAACUUCUAAAAGUGUCCCCCUACCUAAGAUAUUGUUGGAUGCAAUGGGGAACGGCUCAAAGGUGUGAUGGCUUGAGGUCCAAGGAUACUGAAGAGACUGUUGAUAGGCAGGUUAAAUGUGAGAAAUGGAUCCGAGGAGAUGAUGACAAUCAGUCCGAGCAAUCAAAGUCAUCAUGGUGGUUAAACUGACUUAUUACAGGGCGGACAAAGAAGAUGUCUACUGUUUGGCCAUAUCCAUUUUCAGAGGAUAAGUUAAAUAGAGAGAAUGGUCAUUUAAAAUUACGACUAAUAUCAAUAUUCUCGUGAAUUGGACUUGAACAUAACGAAAUGGAUAUAUAUAUAUAUAUAUAUAUAUAUAUAUAUAUGAUGAACACAAAUUAUUGGAGAAUAACGCGAAGUUGAUGACGGCUGAUCAACUACAUUCUUGUAAAUGCGGGUUUUUUGUGGAUAAGGUACCAAUAAGGAUAUACAAGAACGCAAAUCACACAUAAAAGAUUCCUUCUCUGGAUGGUGCCCUAUUUUUUACAAAGUAAUUAUAAAGUAGUAUUAUUCUGUAAAUCUAUCAUAGUCUAUUUUUGCAUAAUGCUGCUUCUUAAUUUGGUUUGAAUUAAGAGGAUUGUUUUUU